rnacentral:rRNA from 1 species
CACGUAGUUAGCCGUGGCUUUCUGAUUAGGUACCGUCAAGACGUGCACAGUUACUUACACAUUUGUUCUUCCCUAAUAACAGAGUUUUACGAUCCGAAGACCUUCAUCACUCACGCGGCGUUGCUCCGUCAGGCUUUCGCCCAUUGUUCGGAAGAUUCCCUACUGCUGCCUCCCGUAGGAGUCUGGACCGUGUCUCAGUUCCAGUGUGGCCGAUCACCCUCUCAGGUCGGCUACGUAUCGUUGCCUUGGUAAGCCAUUACCCCACCAACUAGCUAAUACGGCGCGGGUCCAUCUAUAAGUGAUAGUAAAACCAUCUUUCACUUUAGAACCAUGCGGUUCUAAAUAUUACUCCGGCAUUACGCCCCCGGGUUUCCCGGAGUUUACGUUCCAGUUCUUACUAAGGGUUAGGUUAACCCCAGUGUUACUCACCCCGUCCGCCGCUAACGUCAAA